rnacentral:lncRNA from 1 species
CUCAGAUAUACAUGGAUUUGGGAAAUACGCUGUCCAUAUCUCAUGGGAUGAGGUGGGGAAGAGAUGCUUGGAAAUUAGCUUCCGUCAGCCAAGAGAGGAAGCAAGACAAAGAACUCACGUGAGAAGCAGCUAGCAUUUCUGAAGAAUAAAAUGGCUGAAUGAUGGUGUGCUUAGAAACUAGGUACAAAAUUAAAGAUAAAUAAUCAUGGCAAAAUUGUAAAGUAGAACGUGGCUAUUGUAAUUUUUCAAGCAAAGUAGACAUAGCAAAAUAGCCCCGUAAUUUAAAAGAUGGAGACAAAAAUUUGAGAAGCAUUUCAUUGGAAGCCAGAUGAUGGCGGUGAGGGAUGGAGGAAGUGUAAGGGAACAGAUUUUCUUUCACUAAGGGACUUCCUCAUUUUUGAAGUUGAUAGCUUCAAGCAAGUACAUAUUAUUUAAAGAUAUAAAAACAAUCACCAGCAGAACCAAAAAUAUUGUUUAUCAAAUGAGUGGAAGGUAGGGAAAAUUAGAAAAUAAGGUGGAAGCAUGUAAAACAUAAAAGAAGAAAAUAAAAUUAAGGCCAAUGAUACCUGUUAUGAAAUCACAUAUGAAUAGAAAAAAAUGAAAGGAAAAUGACCCUCAGAUUGGAUAAAUCUAACCCAAGCCCACCUGUACGUUGACUUCAAAGUCAGCACACACUGGAAAUGAAAUAAUUAAGGAAGAAUCGUCACAGAUACAUCAGCCAAAUGCAAACAAAGGAAAGGCAGAGGUCACAACAUCACCACUGGAUGUACAGGAAUUCAAAACUGAGGGCCGGUUGACAAACUGACAAGUCAAAUACAAGCCCCUGGAUCACGAGGAGAGACGUAUUCCAACCUCUUUUGUGCAUGGCUGCAGAUGACACCUCAUAAGAGCUCAAUAAAUGUGCGUUUCCUCUCCCUCCUUCAGCUCUUCUAGGCGAGAACAAGGUGGUUAAUACCAAGUCCGCUUCCCCUGGGUGAACAGAAUGGGGUGGUCUUUGUGCAAAGAUGUUGUCAACUCCCUCACUUUCUUUCAACACGUGUGAUAUGUUGACAGAAAUCCACCAAAGAAGCAGCCGUUAGGCAGAAAUCCACCUGAGCUGCUGUGCAUGUGGCAAAACAUCUCAAAGACCCCAAAAGCGAGGCAUCAUCAUGUUUACAUCACAGCUCUGAAACGAAAAAGAAACGGACUAUUGAGUCUGAUUUCUCCAUUAUCCUGUUGCGUUCGGAUUUUUAAAAGGGAUCAAAAUUCCAUUUUUCCUAAAGAAAGGGAGCCACAGAUUCACAGAUUUCAUUAUCAACUUGAAACAAAUUGAGCAAAAAAUUAGGGGGAAUGUUUUUUCAUAUCCAGCAAGGCCUUCUUUUAAAACCAGCAAACAUCUGCGCACUUAAGUACCUUCUGUUGAGGUCUAAGGAAGUCACUUUCUGGAAUACAUGUGAGUUCAUUGACUCUGCCUCACUUUCAAGAACUGAAUAAGAAAUGAAAUCAUCCUGUAGGUUUUAGAAAAGUAUGAAAAAUGCUACAUCUGCCGAGAAAGUUUGGAUGGGCUAUUCAGAUCUUACCAGAAACAGAUGCAGAACACUGUGUUGGGUUGGAACUGGGCCAGUAUUUGGGGCAACAUUUGGAUUUUCUCUUCAAAUAAAAUAAAUAAAUAAUUUAAAUAUCA